rnacentral:lncRNA from 1 species
CAUUGUUCUAUUUCAUUUAUAAAGCUCGUUUGUAAUUUCAGACCACAGGACGGUGUGUAGAUCUUCUUGACAAUAUAGAGAACAUGACAGCAGAAGUGCUUCCAUUGACAAAUGUGACCAGCAUUUUGAAUGUGGUCCUCAAUGCUUCAGACAUGUUUUUGGAGUCAUCGUCAGCUGACCCAAAUAAACUGGUGUCAUAUGGAAACCGUAUGUUAAAAGCCAGUGAGAAACUCGUGGCCAUGCUCGUAAAACCAACAAACACAAGUGACUAUGUCACUUUUACUCUUGACACUUUGAAGGUAGAAAUCUUCAUGGUUGGACCACAGGUCACCCUAGAGAAAAUCCCUAGACUUAACACGACAGAUUCUUCUGUGGACAUCGAUCUCAUUGGGAUCGCCAAGAACAACAAUGAAACAAGAUCAGCUGCUGUGGCUUUCAUGAGCUACAACAUGAUGGAGAAACUACUGAAGCCAGACUUCUUCAACACACCAAAAGACACCAUUAAAACCAUGAUGUCCACUGUGAUCUCAGCUACUCUUCCCAAAACCACCAACACUAAACUCACCAAACCAGUCAACUUCACCCUAAAACACAUCAGAGAGUUUGAUCCCAGUGGUUCUCUGUCCUGUGUGUACUGGAAUAUCAGAGAGUGGAUUGUAGAUGGUUGUUCUGUUUUAGAGACCAACAGCAACUACACUGUGUGUUCCUGUGAUCAUCUGUCGACAUUCGCUCUCAUUAUGCAAACCAGCCAUCCACCA